AUUGAACGCUGGCGGAAUGCUUUACACAUGCAAGUCGAACGGCAGCACGGACUUCGGUCUGGUGGCGAGUGGCGAACGGGUGAGUAAUGUAUCGGAACGUGCCCAGUCGUGGGGGAUAACGUAGUGAAAAUUACGCUAAUACCGCAUACGAUCUAUGGAUGAAAGCGGGGGAUCGCAAGACCUCGCGCGGUUGGAGCGGCCGAUAUCAGAUUAGGUAGUUGGUGGGGUAAAGGCCCACCAAGCCAACGAUCUGUAGCUGGUCUGAGAGGACGACCAGCCACACUGGAACUGAGACACGGUCCAGACUCCUACGGGAGGCAGCAGUGGGGAAUUUUGGACAAUGGGCGAAAGCCUGAUCCAGCCAUUCCGCGUGCAGGAUGAAGGCUCUCGGGUUGCAAACUGCUUUUGUACAGAACGAAAAGGUUUCUACUAAUACUAGGAGCUCAUGACGGUACUGUAAGAAUAAGCACCGGCUAACUACGUGCCAGCAGCCGCAGUAA
rnacentral:rRNA from 1 species